GCUGGCCUCAGGUGAUCCACCUGCCUCAGCCUCCCAAGGCACUGGGAUUACAGAGGUGAGCUACCAGGCCUGGCCUCUUUUUCUUUUCUAAUAUGGUUACUAGGAAAAAAAAAAUUUGUAACUGAAAGAAAGAAAGUUGUCUCCUAGUUUUCUGGUAAGUUAAGUUCAAACCAAGGCCUCUGUGGUCAGACUCCUAAUUGGAUUGUCCAGAUGGCUCCAUGGUGCCAUUUACCCUCCCUUGCUCCAGCAGCCUCCUCAGAGCACACACUUACAGUAUUUCCUCCAACUGUAAAGCUUUUUCUUCUCUGCUGGUUCACGUUGUUCCCAUAUCUGGAGUGAGGGCUUAAGUGACGCUCCAUGUGUCUCACUCUCAACUCCACUCCCCACUUUCCUUCCUAAUGGUGAAUCUCCGUAGGCCUUUGUGUAUGCAUUUCUUCUGGCCUCGAUCUCUUGCUACCUAGUUAGAGUUUUAAGUACCAUCUUUAACCUUGCAACUUUGAGCACCACUGACACCUAAGUCUACAGCUCCCACAGUCCACAGCCUGAGACAGACACCCAGAUCUCAGCACCUCCAAAACUGAAAUCUGUGCUUUCCCAAGCAUUUGCCUACUUCCUAUCUCUUCAUCUUUCAAUCCAAACUCUUAAGCCUUGAGAGUAACUUCUGAACCCCAACUCUAAUCAUAUCCUUGCCCUGUUUAAAAAUCUUCAUUUGGCUGGGCGCAGUGGCUAACGCCUGUAAUCCCAGCACUUUGGGAGGCCGAGGCAGGCAGAUCACGAGGUCAGGAGAUCAAGACCAUCCUGGCUAACACACUACUAAAAAUACAAAAAAAUUAGCCGGGUGUGGUGGCGGGCGCCUGUAGUCCCAGCUAACUCGGGAGGCUGAGGCAGGAGAAUGUUGUGAAUCCGGGAGGUGGAGCUUGCAGUGAGCUGAGAUAGCACCACUGCACUCCAGCCUGGGUGACAGAGCAAGACUCCGUCUCAAAAAAAAAAACGAACAAAAAACAAAAAAAACCAUUUGUUCCAUGUUGUCUGCAGGAUAAAUCAAAAGCCUUGGUAUAGCACAAAAGGCUUUUUGUGGUCUGGCCCCCAACCUGCCCCUGUGGCCUUAUUUCCCAUCCUUUCUUGCUUCCUAUAUAAACCACCCCAGCCCGCAUACAUCCCCUGCUCUCUGCGUCUGCAGGGGCUGACUUAGCUCAAGUGACACCACUCUUUUAGGAAAUCUUUACCAAUCUCUCUGGGCAAGCUUUUUCUGGCUCCUUUUAAAGAUUUCAGUAAGUUACACAUUUAUGGUCAUAGCUAUAUGCUAGGAAGAAGAAAACUUUGCCAGGUAGAUGCUUGAUUACCCCAUCUGUGGCAGUGUUUUAAAACUAGACAAUAAAUAUCAGAGAUUCUGUCACUUCUGAAGAGCUCAAGAUAUUGCCAAGAUAGAAUCGAGGCUUAAUUUCUUUUUCUGUUCAGGGAGUCUACAGUACGUUUAGUCGUCAUGUUUUCUUAUUCUCCUCUUGGCUGUGCCAUUUUCUCAGACUCCUUGCUCUUGAGGGUGCUGAGAAUGCUGAUGCUGGUCAGGUAUAUUGCAAGUUGCUUUCUAUUGGAAUUUGCUGUUUUUUCUUAUUAUGACUGGCAAAUGGGUUUUUGGAGCGAUAUCCCCAAGGUAAAAUGUUGUUGUCCUCAUAUCAAGGAUACCUGCUGUCUGUGUGCUUUAUGGCUGCUGAAGUUGGCCUCAACUACUUAUCCGGUUUCUCUACAAUAGUGUGUGCAGCCCAUGCUUGAGCAGUGGGAGUUAUUCUGUCCGUUUAUCUUUGAGCUGGUCAGGAAAAUUGAGGCCUCUAGUGCUGCUUAGGGAGCACCUUGUGGGUAGAAGGCAGGUAGAAAUCCUUGGUUAAGAGUAUCAGGGGCAGUAGUCCAGGUGCGGUGGUUCAUGCCUAUAAUCCCAGCCACUUUGGGAGGCCGAGGCAGGCGGAUGACUUGAGGUCAGGAAUUUGAGACCAGCCCGUCCAACAUGGUGAAACCUCGUCUCUACUAAAAAUACAAAGAUUAACUGAGUGUGCUGGCGGGUGCCUGUAAGCCCAGCUACUCAGGAGGCUGAGGCACGAGACUUGCAUGAACCUGAGAGGUGGAAGUUGCGGUGAACCGAGAUUGCACUACUGCACUCCAUCCUGGGUGACAGGGUGAAAACUCCAUCUCAAAAAAAGAAAAAAUAUCAGGGGCAUAUUUCAUAUUUUAAACAAACUCAGCCAGGCAGAGUGACUCAUGCCUGUAAUCCCAGCACUUUGGGAGGCUAAGGUGAGAGGCUCGCUUGAACCUGGGAAGUCAAGGCUGUAGUGAGCCGCAAUUGCGCCACUGCACUCCAGCCUGGACAACAGAGCAAGACCUUGUCUCUAAAUAACCCUCUCUUGACUCUGCUAUUCAUAGUAAAGUUUCCCAAAAGAGUUGUCUCCAUUUUGCAUUCUUUAGCUAUUUUUAAUUCAUAAUAAUUUUUCUGACACAAAAGUCAGAAAUAAUACAGUGAACACUUGUGUACCCACCACCCAGCUUAAAUAUAAGCAGGGCCGCUGCCAUUUGACUUCCUUCCCCAUUUGUGUCUACCCUCUGGCCUUCCCAUUGUUUCUUCAUAGUUAUACUACGUAUUUAUACAUCAUUCAAAUAUAAUAUUGUGUGUAUGGUUUUAAAUCUGUAAAUGAUGUGCAUAUGUGGUGUUCUGCAACUACUUUUGCUGCAAGAUUCAUGCAUGUUUAUGUAGCUCAAAUUUUUCUUGCUAGUCAAUGAUUAUGACAAUUUUCUAUCCAUAUUUUAGUUACUUGACAUUUAGGUUAUUUUUUUCUUCUCAUCAUUAACAGUGCUGGUGGGAGCACCCAUAAACAAGUAUUCAUGUGCAUGUGGAGAGUUUCUGCAGGGCAGUGAUUCUCAUUUAAUCCUGGCUGCACACAAGAAUCUUUUGGGGAGCUUUGCUGUUUUAGUUGGUCUGGGCUAGGGCUUGGACAUCAAUUUUGUUUGGUUUUGUGUGUUCCUCAGGGGGGUUACAUGCAGCCAUAGUUGAAAACCACUGCUCUAGGAGUUGCAUUCCUGCAUUUAGAGUAGGUGCAUCUUUACGAGGUAAUUAAUUUCCCAAGAGGUUGCACUAAUGUUACAUUUCCACUAGUAAUUGGGUAAGUUUUGUUGAUCCACAUUCUUGCCAACAUUUGGUGUUCUCAAACCGAAGAGGGUGAAAAGGGCAUCCCACUGUGACUUCAAUUCCCAUCUCCCCAUUUACUGGUGAAGUCGAGGAACUUCUCACAUAUUUACUUGUCUUUCAGGUCCCUUCUUUGGUGACUAACCUGUUGGACAAUUUUCUAAAGGGCUAUUUGUGUUUCUCUUUUUCAUGUGUAGACAUUCUUUAUUCUGGAUGUUAAUACUUCGUGGAUGAUGUGAGGUAUAAAUAUCUUCUCCCAAUUUGUGACCUCAUUUCAGCUGUAAUGAUGUGAUAAACCAAAGUUCAUCAUUAUAAUGUGAACAAGUGUAUGAAUAGCAUAUAAGCAGAUUCUUUUCUGUUACUUUUGGAAUUUGUUAUUUUGCCAAGGGUUGUCCAUGUAUGUUGUGAUGAUUAUUAUAUGUUUUCUUUCCACCCUAUAUUAAUUUCCUCUGCCUCUCUGUGCUUCAUGUUUUCUUCUACCGAAUUGUAGCUCUGUUUCUGUUCACUUUGCAGUUACCCUUGAAUUUUUCUUCGUGCAUAUUUAACAUAAAGUUUCAACGUGAACAAUAGCUCUGUCCCCUCUGCACAAUACAAGGACCUGAGACCACGUGACUCCAACCACCCUGAGGUCUGACUUAGUGGCAAGUGUUGUGGCUCCUCCUCAUUCUCCUGUCCAGUUAGUGUUAUUGUAAUUGUUAUAUACUGUUGGGGUUUGGUUAGAUUUCAUUUCUGAGCUAUGUAAAAUACUGAAAGGCUGAUGCAAGCACAGUUUAUGAUAGUUCCUAACAUUCCAGUAACAUCCCACAAAGGACAUGUGGGCAACAGAAGGCCAGAGUGGGAUUAAUGGCAGCACACUGACCCA
rnacentral:lncRNA from 1 species